rnacentral:rRNA from 1 species
ACGGGUGAGGAAUACAUCGGAAUCUACUUUUUCGUGGGGGAUAACGUAGGGAAACUUACGCUAAUACCGCAUACGACCUUCGGGUGAAAGCAGGGGACCUUCGGGCCUUGCGCGGAUAGAUGAGCCGAUGUCGGAUUAGCUAGUUGGCGGGGUAAAGGCCCACCAAGGCGACGAUCCGUAGCUGGUCUGAGAGGAUGAUCAGCCACACUGGAACUGAGACACGGUCCAGACUCCUACGGGAGGCAGCAGUGGGGAAUAUUGGACAAUGGGCGCAAGCCUGAUCCAGCCAUACCGCGUGGGUGAAGAAGGCCUUCGGGUUGUAAAGCCCUUUUGUUGGGAAAGAAAAGCAGCCAGUUAAUACCUGGUUGUUCUGACGGUACCCAAAGAAUAAGCACCGGCUAACUUCGUGCCAGCAGCCGCGGUAAUACGAAGGGUGCAAGCGUUACUCGGAAUUACUGGGCGUAAAGCGUGCGUAGGUGGGUUGUUUAAGUCUGUUGUGAAAGCCCUGGGCUCAACCUGGGGAAUUGCCAGGGAAACUGGACGACUAGAGUGUGGUA